rnacentral:rRNA from 1 species
UACAGAGGGGGCAAGCGUUGUUCGGAAUUACUGGGCGUAAAGGGCGCGUAGGCGGCCUGCUAAGUCGAACGUGAAAUCCCCGGGCUUAACCCGGGAACUGCGUCCGAUACUGGUGGGCUUGAAUCCGGGAGAGGGAUGUGGAAUUCCAGGUGUAGCGGUGAAAUGCGUAGAUAUCUGGAGGAACACCGGUGGCGAAGGCGGCAUCCUGGACCGGUAUUGACGCUGAGGCGCGAAAGCUAGGGGAGCAAACAGG